AUUGAACGCUGGCGGCAGGCCUAACGCAUGCAAGUCGAGCGGAUGAAGGGAGCUUGCUCCUGGAUUCAGCGGCGGACGGGUGAGUAAUGCCUAGGAAUCUGCCUGGUAGUGGGGGAUAACGUCCGGAAACGGGCGCUAAUACCGCAUACGUCCUGAGGGAGAAAGUGGGGGAUCUUCGGACCUCACGCUAUCAGAUGAGCCUAGGUCGGAUUAGCUAGUUGGUGGGGUAAAGGCCUACCAAGGCGACGAUCCGUAACUGGUCUGAGAGGAUGAUCAGUCACACUGGAACUGAGACACGGUCCAGACUCCUACGGGAGGCAGCAGUGGGGAAUAUUGGACAAUGGGCGAAAGCCUGUUCCAGCCAUGCCGCGUGUGUGAAGAAGGUCUUCGGAUUGUAAAGCACUUUAAGUUGGGAGGAAGGGCAGUAAGUUAAUACCUUGCUGUUUUGACGUUACCAACAGAAUAAGCACCGGCUAACUUCGUG
rnacentral:rRNA from 1 species